CAAGAAACCAGGCAGGGAAAUUACAUCUUCUUAAGUAUAUCUGAACUAAGCAUCUAGUCUUGCAGAAAUAUGUCCAGGAAGUGGAUCUCUUGUGUGGACUGGUCCAGGCUCCAGCGCAUUAUCCACGAUCUACAACCUAUCCUAGAAAAUGAUCCCUCACUCUCACAGACCUUGGGAGGCAGGCCAGUCCUCGCUUACAGACAACCCCCCAACCUGAAGCAAAUACUCACCAGCAACUACACACCACACCACAGAAACAUCAACCCAGGAACCUAUCCCUGUAGCAAACCUCGUUGCCUACUCUGUCCCCAUAUCUACUCUGGAAACAGCAUCACAGGACCCAACCACAUCAGCCACACCAUCAGGGGCUCAUUCACCUGCACAUCCUCUAAUGUCAUAUAUGCCAUCAUGUGCCAGCAAUGCCCCUCUGCCAUGUACAUUGGCCAAACCGGACAGUCCCUCCGCAAAAGAAUAAAUGGACACAAAUCGGACAUCAGGAAUGGUAACAUACAUAAGCCACAGACCAGCUUGAAGGAACAGGGAUGAAAGUCAUGCGAGGUCCAUUUCUGUCCACUGGAAUAUAUGCAAUUGGCUUCAGGUCAAAUAAAAAUAGAAUAUGAGCAGAGGCAGCCACCCAUCAACAGUGAACCGGGGAAGAGGGAAUAUGUCAUUUGUGGCAGAAGACAGCUGUAACAGUCUGAGAAGAUUUGAAAUGACAACCAAAUAUACGGUAAAUGUAUUCUGUUUAUUUCAAAAUAAAAGAGCCUCAAAUCAUGUAGAAUCUUAAAAGCCAAUUCGUAAUACACUAUGUAGAAUAUGUUUUGCAUUCAAAAUGGCUUCAAUAGAAUAAUCUUUCUGAAUAAUGUGUUAGUGAUUAUCACUGUUUUUCACACUUUACCAAAUUUUACUAAUUGUUUUUCAAAUUUUACCAGAUUAAGCAGGCAUUGACCAGAAGAAUCUUUAAUGUCAGGAAGGAUGUGCUUUGCUUUCUGAGGAAUCAGGCUUGUAAGGAUCCUGAUAAUGAGAUAUCUAUUUUCAUAACAUUAUGCAGAUGUAAUUCAGUAUCCAGAAGAAAUACUGCACACUUGUGUUAGAAAAGUGUAUGAAAUAUCGCAAAGGGUUCUUAUCGAAGCCCCCCGUUUAAUAUCUGGGAUUUAACUCAGAAGUUAAAUAAAUAAAUUAAUGGAGAUAUCCCAUCUCCUAGAACUGGAAGGGACCUCGAAAGGUCAUCGAGUCCAGCCCCCUGCCUUCACUAGCAGGACCAAGUACUGAUUUUGCCCCAGAUCCCUAAGUGGCCCCCCUCAAGGAUUGAACUCACAACCCUGGCUUUAGCAGGCCAAUGCUCAAACCACUGAGCUAUCCCUCCCCGCAAGUUGGCUUUCAUAAUGUCAAUCCUGUUCUUAAAAAGGGGGCGGGGGGAAGAGCAUCCAUGUUAGCAUAGUGGGAUGUGUGUGGUGGUUGGUAAGCACAUUGACAUAUACUGGAGGUACCCAAUAUUUGUAUUACUGUAAUGCGCAGAGGUUCCAAUCAGGUUUAAGACCCCAUUCUGCUGUAUCAACAUCAGACCUGGUCCCUUCUUUGAGCUGUUUACAAUCUAACAAUCAUUUUAUUUUUCUCUCCUCUUUUAUUUGCUUUUAUUAUCAUGCAGAAUUUUCACCAUGUAUAAUUCAACAUUUGUUAAUUGCUCUUUGCACUCAAAUCCAAUGUAUUACUUAACAGCAACUGAGAAUCUCCAAAUUUAGGCCCCAGUCUUACACUGAUUGUAUGCAGGUAAACUGAAGCACAUGUGCGUAGGCCUGGCUAGACAUGAGUAAUUAGACAUGGGUAAGGUCUCAUUUCUUGGGAGACAGGAUUAGGGACGUAAAUGGAUCAGAAGGCUGGAAAUAGAUUGUCUGUGCUAAAAUAGGUAAAUGGCUCAGUAAGCUAAGAGGCAGAACAUCCAGAGGACCAUUUACAAUGGACAAAAUAAGCUGGAACAUAAGAUGAGGCAAAGAGUAAGUCGUAGAUGGACAGUGCAUGGACAGAGAAUGCUGUACAGGACGUGGUUCCUACAAAGGAACCAAGCCAAUCCCAAAACGUGUGAUGCAAUGUAUAGUAAGUACAAGGUAAUCUGGAAACGUAUAUAAAGAAAGAGGUUUUCAGUGUGAUUUUGCAUGUGGUAUACCCUAUACCCACCUCUACACUUGAGUCUGAUCAACUCAAUGUAACUUUGCUGAAUGCCAAAUAAAAAUACCCGAGUGACAAAAUCUGGAGUCAAACUGAUUUCUUGGGAAGCUGAGUGGAAAGAGAUCUUAGGAGGAAAUUCCAGCUGUGUGCAGACUCCCAUUGACAAUAAUGGCGCUGUGUGCAGAUACAGUGGAAUGUCAAUAUACAUUCAAUUUCUGGAUAAGGGCCUUAUUGCCUCCAUAUAGCUACACUCUUGAAGCUUUAGGGAUUUCCACAUUAAAAAGCAAUUUGACCUUAAUUAGGAUUGUGUGUCUUAACAUGGUGUCCACAGCUAUAUAAAGGAGACCAACAUAUAUUGUCGUCAGAUUGAUUGUCAUGGUUAUUAAAUUUGAAUAUUUAUAUUAUAAUAGUGCAUAAAGCCCCAAAUUGUGGGCUGAGCACUAUACAAACACAUAUAAAAAGAAACAGUCCUUGCACUGGAAAGCAUAUGCUCUAAAAGACACAGGAACGGACAAAAGGUUAACAGACACAUAAAUAAAUCCGGGACAGACACAAUUUUGCUUAAAAAAGUUCAUAAGCACUCAAUAGUUCAGAAAUAUUUAAAAAAAAUCAUUUCUCAUGACAUUCUAGUAUUUCCUGCUGCCAGUCAGUCUAGGAAUACUGCAACAGCAGCUUCCUGUGUAGGUGCUUUGCUAAUGUUCCUAUCCAGAAUUCAGAAAUGCAGAG